GACGAACGCUGGCGGCGUGCCUAAUACAUGCAAGUCGAACGAAACUUUCUUACACCGAAUGCUUGCAUUCACCGUAAGAAGUUGAGUGGCGGACGGGUGAGUAACACGUGGGUAACCUGCCUAAAAGAAGGGGAUAACACUUGGAAACAGGUGCUAAUACCGUAUAUCUCUAAGGAUCGCAUGAUUCUUAGAUGAAAGAUGGUUCUGCUAUCGCUUUUAGAUGGACCCGCGGCGUAUUAACUAGUUGGUGGGGUAACGGCCUACCAAGGUGAUGAUACGUAGCCGAACUGAGAGGUUGAUCGGCCACAUUGGGACUGAGACACGGCCCAAACUCCUACGGGAGGCAGCAGUAGGGAAUCUUCCACAAUGAACGCAAGUCUGAUGGAGCAACGCCGCGUGAGUGAAGGAGGUCUUCGGAUCGUAAAACUCUGUUGUUAGAGAAGAACACGAGUGAGAGUAACUGUUCAUUUGAUGACGGUAUCUAACCAGCAAGUCACGGCUAACUACGUGCCAGCAGCCGCGGUAAUACGUAGGUGGCAAGCGUUGUCCGGAUUUAUUGGGCGUAAAGGGAACGCAGGCGGUCUUUUAAGUCUGAUGUGAAAGCCUUCGGCUUAACCGGAGUAGUGCAUUGGAAACUGGAAGACUUGAGUGCAGAAGAGGAGAGUGGAACUCCAUGUGUAGCGGUGAAAUGCGUAGAUAUAUGGAAGAACACCAGUGGCGAAAGCGGCUCUCUGGUCUG
rnacentral:rRNA from 1 species